CAAACCCGUUUGCUCAUGAAUUUGACCCGCAAGACUUCAAUCAACGUGUGCGCUCACCUGACCCAUAAGGGUUGAGAUUCCGAGAUAUAAACAGAGAUCGGUUCCUUCUCCAUUGCCGCUAGUCCCCAACUUCGACCGCUACAACCUUGUUGCCGAUCGUCGCUCGCGCGGUACGGAGAGACGCGCCUCCGCACGGAUUGAGUUCGAAACAAUUGCGGAGUACACUUUUGAGAGAGAUUCCACCAUAAAAUUUCCCUCAGGGAAUCGAUUUCCAGAGACUACUUUCUCGUUUCUGGCUCAUCACCGCGCCCAAGGCGACGUAGCCAUCGCCGGACCCCCACCUCGCGAGAAGGCCCCUUGUUCAACUCUGUUUCGCGGCCGUGAAGAUUGAAGUGGCCCAAAUUGGCUUGAAACUCGUCGACGGGUCUUCGGUUUAGCCGACGACAAUCAUGAGAGCUCUCGAUAGUUGAUUGGACUUAGCUUGGCUUCAUCAACAAGAGAGAGAGAGAGAUGGGCAAAGAAGAGAGGAGCGAGAAAGCAGGAGGGCCUAGCUUUCCAACGAUUUCAGUGGUAUGCUGCCUCAAGAUUUCCUGAAGUCUCGGGAGGCCAUGAAGGUUAAGUCGCACUUUGACCAUCUUCAAUAUCCGUUUCUUUCAUCGACCAAUCUCUAUUAUCAAGACACAGUUAGUGUUACUUUCAAAGGUGUGGAGAUAGAACUCACGAAGAUCGUAACAGUUUUUCACCUCGAUCGACUUCUCGAGCAAUAGAUUCGAGGGUCCAAUACCAGAAGCAUUGAGAGAUUUUCGAGCACUCUAUUUUCUCAACCUGUCGCACAAUUGGCUUUCAGGGCCUAUUCCCUCGUCAUUAGGAAAAGUACAGCAGCUCGAGUCCCUAGACUUGUCACAGAAAUAUCUGCAUGGGACAAUACCGGUGCAGCUUUCAGAUCUGAACUUCCUUUCAUGCCUGAACCUCUCCUAUAAUCAACUUGUUGGUAUGAUCCCAGCAAGCAAACAGUUUCUCACAUUUUCAGAAGGUUCGUUUGUAGUUAACAAAGGAUUAUGCAGGUUUCCACUUGACAAUUGCUCAAUCACCACCAAUCCUGAACAAGCUGAUGCUGUUCCAACUCAAAGGUCUGAAUGUCGUGAGGAGAAUGGUUGGAUUGACAUAAAGUCGUUUUACAUGAGCAUGCCACUAGGAUUUGCUGUCGGCUUCAGGGUUUUUUGCGGGACACUAAUAUUUAUCCAGCCAUGGAGGCGUGUGUAUUAUCAGUUUUGGGAUGGCUUGCUGUUCAGACUUUCGCAAUGUUAUCAUGUUCGCUAAACUUUGGUCAUUAUGCUUGAUUGGAGUAAGUUCACAGUUUUUCCUCUC